UACGGAGGGUGCGAGCGUUGUCCGGAAUCAUUGGGCGUAAAGGGCGCGUAGGUGGCCCGGUCAGUUCGUGGUGAAAGCGCGGGGCUCAACCCUGCGUCGGCCAUGAAUACUGCCGCGGCUGGAGCACUGUAGAGGCAGGCGGAAUUCCGGGUGUAGCGGUGGAAUGCGUAGAGAUCCGGAAGAACACCGGUGGCGAAGGCGGCCUGCUGGGCAGUUGCUGACACUGAGGCGCGACAGCGUGGGGAGCAAACAGG
rnacentral:rRNA from 2 species